AUUGAACGCUGGCGGCAGGCUUAACACAUGCAAGUCGAGCGGAGAGAGGUAGCUUGCUACUGAUCUUAGCGGCGGACGGGUGAGUAAUGCUUAGGAAUCUGCCUAUUAGUGGGGGACAACAUCUCGAAAGGAAUGCUAAUACCGCAUACGUCCUACGGGAGAAAGCAGGGGAUCUUCGGACCUUGCGCUAAUAGAUGAGCCUAAGUCGGAUUAGCUAGUUGGUGGGGUAAAGGCCUACCAAGGCGACGAUCUGUAGCGGGUCUGAGAGGAUGAUCCGCCACACUGGGACUGAGACACGGCCCAGACUCCUACGGGAGGCAGCAGUGGGGAAUAUUGGACAAUGGGCGCAAGCCUGAUCUAGCCAUGCCGCGUGUGUGAAGAAGGCCUUAUGGUUGUAAAGCACUUUAAGCGAGGAGGAGGCUACUUUAGAUAAUACCUAGAGAUAGUGGACGUUACUCGCAGAAUAAGCACCGGCUAACUCUGUGCCAGCAGCCGCCGUAACAC
rnacentral:rRNA from 1 species